rnacentral:rRNA from 1 species
GAUGAACGCUGGCGGCGUGCCUAAUACAUGCAAGUCGAGCGAACAGACGAGGAGCUUGCUCCUCUGACGUUAGCGGCGGACGGGUGAGUAACACGUGGAUAACCUACCUAUAAGACUGGGAUAACUUCGGGAAACCGGAGCUAAUACCGGAUAAUAUAUUGAACCGCAUGGUUCAAUAGUGAAAGACGGUUUUGCUGUCACUUAUAGAUGGAUCCGCGCCGCAUUAGCUAGUUGGUAAGGUAACGGCUUACCAAGGCGACGAUGCGUAGCCGACCUGAGAGGGUGAUCGGCCACACUGGAACUGAGACACGGUCCAGACUCCUACGGGAGGCAGCAGUAGGGAAUCUUCCGCAAUGGGCGAAAGCCUGACGGAGCCACGCCGCGUGAGUGAUGAAGGUCUUCGGAUCGUAAAACUCUGUUAUUAGGGAAGAACAAAUGUGUAAGUAACUAUGCACGUCUUGACGGUACCUACUCAGAAAGCCACGGCUAACUACGUG